GACGAACGCUGGCGGCAGGCCUAACACAUGCAAGUCGAGCGAAGCCUUCGGGCUUAGCGGCGGACGGGUGAGUAACGCGUGGGAACGUGCCCUUUGGUACGGAAUAGCCCCGGGAAACUGGGAGUAAUACCGUAUGUGGUCGAGAGACGAAAGAUUUAUCGCCAAAGGAUCGGCCCGCGUUGGAUUAGGUAGUUGGUGGGGUAAUGGCCUACCAAGCCGACGAUCCAUAGCUGGUUUGAGAGGAUGAUCAGCCACACUGGGAAUGAGACACGGCCCAGAGUCCUACGGGAGGCAGCAGUGGGGAAUCUUAGACAAUGGGGGAAACCCUGAUCUAGCCAUGCCGCGUGAUCGAUGAAGGCCUUAGGGUUGUAAAGAUCUUUCAGUGGGGAAGAUAAUGACUGUACCCACAGAAGAAGCCCCGGCUAACUCCGUGCCAGCCGCCGCCGUAAAAC
rnacentral:rRNA from 1 species